AAUGGCCAAGACCCGGAAGUUCAAUGUAAAUGCCGUACACUUAUUUAAGUAUACAUUAUGCAUUACAUCAUUGCUUGAGUUAGUUCAAGAAAGAGGGUUGACUUCAGUACUGCAUUGUGCAGCAGAGAAUAUUCAAGAGCAACUGUGACUGUCAUAUCCAGGUAGAUCAUCACAAGAACUACAGUCUGAGGCAUCACUCGAGGCAAAUGCUCUUACAAAAGCCACACUACACAGUGUCAAAGAAGACAAUUACAUUUUAGUGCGGUAUAGCUACCAUGCAGCGUUAUAUUUUCAGUUCCCAAGCAUAUGAAGCAGAUCUGAUCAAUGAGUACUGUAAAGCGUUGAUGUCGAUCACCACUGAAGAUGUUCGCUAUUUUCUUGUGAACAUACACUGAGGAUACCCCCAUUGUGCUCACUCUCUUCCAGUAUCUGGACAAGUCACAAAAAGGUGAUAUCAAGCCUCUGAAUGACAGGACAUCGCCGCUGUGAGACUCCAACACUACUUUUAGACAAACAUUUAUUGUUAUUACCUUCUGUGUUUGUUGAAAUGUAUCAUAUGCAC